GACGUAGGUGGCGAACGUUAUCCGGAAUUAUUGGGCGUAAAGGGUGCGUAGGUGGCCUGGCAAGUUAUUAGUGGCAAAUCGAGGCUCAACCUCGUGGAAACUAGUAAUACUGUCUGGCUUGAGUACAGGAGAGGUUAACGGAACUCUAUGUGGAGCGGUAAAAUGCACAGAUAUAUAGAAGAACAUCAAUAAAGGCGAAGGCAGUUAACUAUUCUGUUACUGACACUGAGGCACGAAAGCGUGGGGAGCAAAACGG
rnacentral:rRNA from 1 species